rnacentral:rRNA from 1 species
GACGGGGGAUGCAAGCGUUAUCCGGAAUGAUUGGGCGUAAAGGGUCCGCAGGUGGCCCGGUCAGUCCGCUGUCAAAGCCUGGGGGCUCAACCCUGGAGAGGCGGCGGAGACCACCGGGCUUGAGUCCGGGUAGGGGCAGAGGGAAUUCCCGGUGGAGCGGUGAAAUGCGUAGAGAUCGGGAGGAACACCAAUGGCGAAGGCAGCUUGCUGGGACGGUACUGACGCUGAGGAGCGAAAGCGUGGGGAGCAAACAGG